rnacentral:rRNA from 1 species
UACGGAGGGAGCUAGCGUUGUUCGGAAUUACUGGGCGUAAAGCGCACGUAGGCGGCUUUGUAAGUUAGAGGUGAAAGCCCGGGGCUCAACUCCGGAACUGCCUUUAAGACUGCAUCGCUUGAAUCCAGGAGAGGUGAGUGGAAUUCCGAGUGUAGAGGUGAAAUUCGUAGAUAUUCGCAAGAACACCAGUGGCGAAGGCGGCUCACUGGCCCGAUACUGACGCUGAGGCACGAAAGCGUGGGGAGCAAACAGG